rnacentral:lncRNA from 1 species
AGGGGCAAAGCCAAGCAAUCCAAUUAAGCCGUUUAGUCAAGCACUUUUUGUAAUCUGAGGUAAGUUGUAUGUAAAUAAUACAACUACACUGUUAAUACUUGUAUUCAUAUUUUCAUUGAAUUGAUAUUGUACGAGUUGUUAAGUUACAAUUUGAGAAUGCCUUGUAAUAUUUGAGAUAGUAGAAAUAUCCCGUUGAAACCUUAGGAUAUGAACUGAAUAUUCGUCCCAAGACAUUAGGUGAUUUGUACGCCGGUGUAAGACAUGUCUGAAACAUGCUUCUGCCACAUUAUGAGAGCCAGUGUAAGACCAUGUCUGGGACAUGGAAUCGGCAUCCAGACGAGGGCUAGUGUAAGACAUGUCUAGGGUAUACAUCAGCCAUAUUAUGAGAGCCAGUGUAAGACCAUGUCUGGGACAUGGCAUCGACACAGAGAUGAGUGCCAGAGUAAGACAUGUCUGGGACAUGCAUCGGCCUCGACAGAGAUAGCUAGUGUAAGACGUGUCUGGGACACACAUCGGCUAGGAGUUGUGCUAGUGUAAGACAUGUCUGGGACAUGCAUCGGCACGCAUAUAUGAGAGCCAGUGUAAGACCAUGUCUAGGACAUGGCGUCGGCAAUAUAUCCCAUGUUGAAGGUUCAUAGAAUAUCUAGUAGUAUUCCAAAUGGUUCAAUGGUGAAAGUUAUAGUUCAAUUAUGAUAAAGAAAGGAUGAUCAUGUUACGAGUGUUACAGGUACCUAUAUGAUAGGCAUGAGUAACGAGCUAAUUUAGAAAAUGAGACUCGAGUAGAUGAUAAUGAGUAAGUUAAGUUAUGUUUACCUUUGAGCUUUAAGCAUGAUGGUAAAUGGUGAGAUUGUUGUAUAUUUAUUUAUAUGCAACUUACUAAGCUUUAUGCUUACUCCCUUUUCUUUCCCUCUUAUUUCAGUAUCGCCAGGCUAGCUUAAGGGUUCCAUAAAGUCAGAGAUAUCGAUCACACUAUCAGCCGCAACACUCAGUAUAGUUUGAUUUAUAUUUUAGAAGGUGGCAUGUAUAGGGCUAGACUGGGAUGUUUUAUUAAAAUAAUUAUUCAUGUAUUUUGGCUCAAGUCAAAAGCCCUUCACUUUGUAUUAAGCCUAGAAUAAUGGCUAGUAUUUAUUUUGAUGAAUGC